rnacentral:rRNA from 1 species
CGCUAGCGACAGAGCUUAACACAUGCAAGUCGAGGGGCAGCGGGGAGUGAGGCUUGCCUUACUCUGCCGGCGACCGGCGCACGGGUGAGUAACACGUAUGCAACCUACCCUUUACAGCGGGAUAACCGGAAGAAAUUUCGCCUAAUACCGCAUAUACUCCUUGGGAGGCAUCUUCCGAGGGGGAAAGAAUUUCGGUGAAGGAUGGGCAUGCGUCGCAUUAGUUAGUUGGCGGUGUAACGGACCACCAAGACGACGAUGCGUAGGGGUUCUGAGAGGAAGGUCCCCCACACUGGUACUGAGACACGGACCAGACUCCUACGGGAGGCAGCAGUGAGGAAUAUUGGUCAAUGGCCGAGAGGCUGAACCAGCCAAGUCGCGUGAGGGAAGAAUGUCCUAUGGAUUGUAAACCUCUUUUGUCAGGGAGCGAAGUCACCCACGUGUGGGUGUUGGAGAGUACCUGAAGAAAAAGCAUCGGCUAACUCCGUGCCAGCAGCCGCGGUAAUACGGAGGAUGCGAGCGUUAUCCGGAUUUAUUGGGUUUAAAGGGUGCGUAGGCGGGUUAUCAAGUCAGCGGUAAAAUCGUGGAGCUCAACUCCAUCCAGCCGUUGAAACUGAUGAUCUUGAGUGGGCGAGAAGUAUGCGGAAUGCGUGGUGUAGCGGUGAAAUGCAUAGAUAUCACGCAGAACUCCGAUUGCGAAGGCAGCAUACCGGCGCCCGACUGACGCUGAAGCACGAAAGCGUGUGUAUCGAACAGGAUUAGAUACCCUGGUAGUCCACGCAGUAAACGAUGAAUACUAAUUGUGUGCUCCGAAUGAGGAGUGCGUGAUACAGCGAAAGCGUUAAGUAUUCCACCUGGGGAGUACGCCGGCAACGGUGAAACUCAAAGGAAUUGACGGGGGCCCGCACAAGCGGAGGAACAUGUGGUUUAAUUCGAUGAUACGCGAGGAACCUUACCCGGGCUCAAACGCAGGAGGGAUGUUUUUGAAAGGAGGCAGCUCUACGGAGUCUCCUGCGAGGUGCUGCAUGGUUGUCGUCAGCUCGUGCCGUGAGGUGUCGGCUUAAGUGCCAUAACGAGCGCAACCCCUACCGCCAGUUGCCAACGGGUAAAGCCGGGAACUCUGGCGGGACUGCCGGCGCAAGCUGUGAGGAAGGCGGGGAUGACGUCAAAUCAGCACGGCCCUUACGUCCGGGGCGACACACGUGUUACAAUGGCAGGUACAGCGGGAAGCCACUUGGCGACAAGGCGCGGAACCCGAAAACCUGUCUCAGUUCGGAUUGGAGUCUGCAACCCGACUCCAUGAAGCUGGAUUCGCUAGUAAUCGCGCAUCAGCCACGGCGCGGUGAAUACGUUCCCGGGCCU